AAAACAAAACUGCUUCUGCAUGUUGACCAUUGGCAGGUAAGCGGUCCCUGGGCAGAGAGAUGGUGCUGAGUUCUCAGUCAUCAGAAGACAGAUAUAAAUAGAGACACAGAGAGAAGAAGCAACACCUCUGCAGUGCUUUACCAUCUGUGGAGCUUCCCUUGUCCUGUGGUGUCCUACUGGGUGAUUUAUCUCCUGAUUCCUCAAUUUGAAUCUUAUGGACUGAGCUACCAGUAACACAGGAAAUGUGAGAAGGUAGAAACUAGUAAAAUAGUAGAGCAAAGUUCAUAAAGAAGUGUUGGUAUGCUUCACAUUGGUUUUGUCUCACUCCCCCCCCCCCCCCCCCCCCCCCCCCGCCUCCAGGAGAUUGUGGUUUAGUCUUUGCCUUUUCGCGCUUCUCCCUUCCCUUCACCCCACCCCCUAUCCUACAUACUUCCUGAGUUCCUGCCGCUGCCACCGGAGGAGAGAGAUGCAGGACAGAACUUGUGGUGAUUAGAUUAGAUUAGUUUUUUGAACUGUUUGCUCGUGAAUAAAGAAAUACUGCUUCUCUGCUCA